GCUUGGGUGUGGGCGUGAACCCUCCCCUCCCCCCAGUCCACAGCCGCCACACCCUCUCCUCCCCGCCUCGUCUCCUCCCGGCUCCCCCAUCUCUUCUCCCACGUCGUCGCCUCCCCUCACCCCGCUCGCCUCAGCCACCUCCUAUGCUCCCCCGCACCGCCGGCUCCCUCCCUCUCGGCUGACCCCAUGGCGGCGGCCGGGUCGGGGUGGAGGCAAAACACCAUGGAGAAUCCGGUGUCUUUGGGCGCGGCAUGGGUUGAUGGAGCGGCGGAUUUGGGCAUGAUCCCACCCUUAGGCGCUCCACGACGACGGCCAGUUCGGAGGGAGAAGGUAGAAAGUGAUGGCGAGUCCUGCGCCUCUGGGUGGAAGCAACGGGGUUGGUCGAGCAGCGGAUGUGGUCGGGGUCAGCAGUUGAAGGAGGCUCGCCGGCCGGAGCAGCAGGAGGUGAUUCAGGAGCGCCUCGAGGAGUGGAAGGGAGAGGUCGUGCAGGACAGGCCAACAAGAGCAUUAGAGCAACGAGGAUAAAAUAUUCGAUCAGCCCUAUAUCUUCUUCUCGAUGCAGCCCCGCAUAGGUAUCCUGGGGUGAUUCAAGAUGCUCAGGUGUAUCACACUGCAUGGUACACAGGUCAGUUUUGCAGGCUGCUCUGAGAUACACUGAUUUAGAUACAACCACAUGUCUGCAGCAAUUUCUUACUCUCGGUAUAAAGACCAGCUCAUGGUGUGGGAAGCAUCUCAUAUGGUUCACCGAAUCAAUUGAUGAAUCUGAAGCGAUUCAAGAGGAGGAGCAAAAACUGUUUAUGCCUAUAGAAGUGAAACGGAAGGCCAUGAACAACGCGUCUCCGGGAAGUGAAUUUUAUGGUGCCUUUCAUUCUGCUCAUUUGGCGCAAUUUUAAAUCACAAAGUGGAGGGGAGAGGUCUGGCUGCUACUGGUGGGAAAUGGGUGCCUCUCCAGUCAACCGAGCGACGACAAAUCCAACUGGGAAGGGCUCUGUGGUGAUCUUCAUGUUAUCAGUAACUGUUCAUGAUUUUCCUGGCUAACAGUUGUUAUCUUUCAAGGCUACGAGUUUAGUCCUGUAUGCAAUACAAAACAUUCAAGCAAAUAAUUUGUGCUUUACCUUUUGAAACGCGUGUGCAACAUGUUUUUUUCUCUUUUAUCCAAGCUACUAUGCAAAACUGUAUUGUUUUACGGCCAUUUGGUUCACAUGAGUGAGCUUUGUGGGACUAGGAUAGUACAUGCAUGUGCAGUAUUACAGAUACACAAUUAGCUGUUGAAUGAUUCUUAUUUGUAGUUAUCUGAAAUAUUACUUCCUGACUUUAAAUUUACCUUCUUUCUUUAUCCAUGUACAAGCUCAACACAUGGUGUUCUCUUCUUGAUUCCUGCUGGAAAGCAAGCCAUGCGUCAGCGUACGGCAACGAUUCGGGUGCCUGCGGCAUGAUGGCGCCGCAGAAGCAUGCAGCGUUCUUCGACGGCAAACAAGGAUGCAUUUGUUUUCCACUCAGUUUCUUUUUGUUCCCUAUGCUUUUUCUCAGAGAGAUUUCUCUAAGUGAUUCUCCGUUUGAUGUUCUUUGAUUCUGUCUAACGUACAAUUUAUCCUCCUUGCAUAUCAGCAUUUUGGGCCCUCGGAUUUGGAUUUGCUGCAGCCUCCACAAUGAGUGCCACCUUCAUCAAUGGCGUCCUUGGCCCCCAGAAAAAACCGGUAAUCCUUCGACAGCAAAAUCAUACAUCUUUGUCUAUAGGAGUUAUUUUCUCUAUUGAGUUUAAUGUUCCUGGUUAGUUACUUAGCUUGCGACUGCAACGUAACCUUGCUUUCCUGAGAAGGCAAAACAACAAUCAACAAUGCUUCAUUUUUCUGCGAUUUUGAGCUGAUAAUUCAGUGAUGGCAUGAUAGGCUAGCUACCUAAGCCAUAAAGUUGUUGCGUUGAAAAUUACAGCAUGCGUGUUUGAGAGAAAGGGAUGGUAAAUAGGGGACUGGAACAAGUGGAGAAGAAAUUUAUUAGUUGAUUCUCCCAUCUGAUAGAAACUACCUCAUGAAUGUUUAUUUAUUUAGUGAUCAGAUGUGAGAUCUGAACAUUGAAGAGCAACAAUGGACAUAAGUGUUAGAUGAGUUUGGGAAGACAUGGUUGCAAAUGGAGUAUUUUCACGAUGAGCUCGGCUCCUGAAGGCAUGAUGCCUCAUUUCGAUUCUCUUAUCUCGGUGUGUUUUUAUUCAGAAAAUUAAGGCAUGAUGCCUCAUUUUGAUUAUCUUAUCUCGGUGUGUUUUAUUCAGAAAAUAAAUUUGCUUAUUUUUGCUUUUUUAGGGCUAUAACAAGAGAAACCUCCAUUGCUGAAAAUCUUUUAAAGAGAUCGAGGAUAAAUUUUUUUCCAAGUAAAAUGUGCUUUACUGCCGUAUUUUUUAUGCGAACCUUCUUCUUAAUCUGUGUUGGGACUUGGGAGAAAGAUGUUGCUUUUUUGUUCAGAAAAUGUUUAUUAGAUGGAAAUACUCGGCAUUUAAAGUUUUUUCUCCAAAUGUUUUUGUGCGUGCAAAUAUGAUCUGAUUUCAUUGCAGCCAAGCCAAUGGAUAUGUGUAGAGGGCCGCAAUGAGGCAGACGGUAGCGGGUGGCAGCAAUAGGGGUUGACGGAUGCUCCGAGACCAUGAAGAGCCUAUUCAAUGGUGUAUUCCCUCCCUGUUCAUUUUUUGGGGGUUCCGUCUCCAGAUUGGUGUGAUACAAUUCUGAGUUGUUGUGCGUGCGUGUGUUGUGUGAUGCAGAUGAGAAGGAUGACAUAGCGAAUGAGGAUUCCGACAUGGUAGCUCCCACAAUCGCGCAGUUGGAGAGCAUGCACGAGUUCGGUAAACUAUGUAUUCUAUUGGUAUAGCUCUGAAAGGUUAGGAUGCUUUGGGUCGCGGCCUGAACUAUGUAUCUGUGGAUAUUACUACACUUUCAGCAUGCUAUUUCCUAUUUUUUAGACAUCAAUUUCUGUGAAUUGUGGCUGAACUAUGAUACUUUAGGUUGCAUGCUCAACUAUGUGUAGUGUCAUUACCGCUUUCUCCCCUGAUUGUAUUGUCCUUGCCAUGUUAUCCCCUAAAGGCUUACUCUUGCCAUGUUAUUCCCUAAAUUAUUACUCAUUUCUUCUUUUGCCAGUGCUCCACUUAUGCAUCAUGUAUUUAGUACUCCCUCCAUCUGAAAAUACUUGUCGAAUAAAAAUGAAUGUAUCUUAAACUAAAAUAUGUCUAGAUACAACCAUCUCUCCGACAAGUAUUUUCGGAUGGAGGGAGUACCAAAAAUGAGGUAUGCUUCUUUACAUUAAACAGUCUUUCCUUCUCAGUAUAUAUGGAAGUAUAUUGGACGGCUUCCAUAGAAUACUUGUGUCUGUACUAUAUACUGGAUGAAAAUAAUUUCCUUGCAUGCGAACAUAUGCUAAUUAGUAGCUGCACCACAUUCCUGAAGCUUUUUUGAACUAUUGGGAAACAUGAGAAAGUUUUUACACAUAAGUAUAUGGUUCUUGUUUCCAUUUCAAACAAAACGAAGGCUAAAAGUUGCUACUUCUGUAGUACUCCUAGAUACAACAAUUAGUGUUCAGCUAGACUGUCAAUCUUACAGUUUUUCACUAACCGCUGCCUCUGUAGGCUUAUGCCAGCGCUGGUGAAAAAGCACAUGGAUUUGGGAAGAAAGCAAAGUUGUAGCUAUCAUGCACCGUGCAUGCAUGCAAUUAGAAUUUACAAAAACAAUUAGAAAUUGUGGUUCUAAUCAGAUUCAUUGUCUUACCAGAUCUUUUGCAUAUCAGACUCUCCUUGCUGACAUCUGAUGAAGUUGUGGUCCAGGAGAAGAAUGAAUAUUUUAUAGCUCUAGCUUCCCCCUUCAGAUAGUCAUGCUCUCCUCCUGGUUUAACAUCCAGUUGCAGUGUGAUAGCUUUGACACACUUUCAUGUAAUUGUUCUGGUUUAACAUCCAGCUGUAGUGUGAUAGCUUCGACACCCUUUCAUGGAAUUGCCACCCCCCCACACACACAUCCACGCCCACACCCACACCCAAAUGAAAUGUAUAGAUCUCGCAUAUUUUAUCUGUCUACUUGUUUUAUGAGGAAACAACUCGACUAAUGGUUACUCGGGAGUUGAGAACAAAAGUAGGUGGAGUGCUCAUUGAUCAUUAA